rnacentral:lncRNA from 1 species
UAGUUCAGAUGUAAAAACGCAAUCUCUCACAUUUUCAUCAGCAUAUAUCUUAUUUUCAGGCAAUACAUUUGGCAUCACUUCAGCUUUGUGGGGAUCUGAUACAGUUGACGAGCCAACAUUCAUUGCAUCCUUAACUGCCAUUUUAGACUCCCCUUCACAUGUUUCACCCACAACAGCAUCAGAAGGGGUUAUAAUUUCAUCUUCAUCCUGAUCAGACCU